rnacentral:rRNA from 1 species
UGCGAAUCUCGAAAGCCUGUCUCAGUUCGGAUUGGAGGCUGAAACCCGCCUCCAUGAAGUUGGAUUCGCUAGUAAUCGCGCAUCAGCCACGGCGCGGUGAAUACGUUCCCGGGCCUUGUACACACCGCCCGUCAAGCCAUGGAAGCCGGGGGUGCCUGAAGUGCGCUGCCGCAAGGAGCGCCCUAGGGUAAAACCGGUGACUGGGGCUAAGUCGUAACAAGGUAAC